UAACGUCUGCUUUCCAUGCUGGCAUGGGUUGGACGAGUUGACUGGAAAAGGUAAAAACGUAUUAAAAAGAAACUGUGGAAGUCAUAACCUGGUGGAAAGACUGUGGAGACACUUCAAAAAAGGUAAACUGGUUCCAGGCAGGGAUGACCGACUUGACGACUUUGGUCGGUUGA